rnacentral:rRNA from 1 species
UACAGAGGUGGCGAGCGUUAUUCGGAAUUAUUGGGCGUAAAGGGCGCGUAGGCGGCUUGACAAGUCCCGGGUGAAAUCCCUCGGCUCAACCGAGGAACUGCCUUGGAAACUGUCUGGCUUGAGGCCGGGAGAGGGUAGUGGAAUUCCCAGUGUAGCGGUGAUAUGCGUAGAUAUCGGGAGGAACACCAGUGGCGAAGGCGGCUUUCUGGGCCUUACCUGACGCUGAGACGCGAAAGCGUGGGGAGCGAACCGG